GUGGCACAAUAAAUGGCUUUGAACAAAUUGAUUCACAGUGCAAUGAAAUAUCUUCUCCUGAUGGAUCUCUUUCUUCAGGGAAAUCAGAUCAUGCUCCUGAAGGUAAUUUGAAUGGGCCAGGUGAAGAUUUUACAAAAUGCAGCGAUGCAGAUUAUGUUCCGGAAGGUGAAGCUGAGGCAGACUUUUCCUCUGACCUGGUAAAACAUUGUGAACGUUUGCUAAAGCAACUGGAGACCAUGAAAGGGUCUGAAUUUUACGUACAGUAUGAUCGAAUUUCAAAAUA
rnacentral:misc_RNA from 1 species